UCCUACGGGGGGCAGCAGUAGGGAAUUUUCGUCAAUGGGCGCAAGCCUGAACGAGCGAUGCCGCGUGGGUGAAGAAGGUCUUCGGAUCGUAAAACCCUGUUGUUAGAGAAGAAAGUGCGUGAGAGUAACUGUUCACGUUUCGACGGUAUCUAACCAGAAAGCCACGGCUAACUACGUGCCAGCAGCCGCGGUAAUACGUAGGUGGCAAGCGUUAUCCGGAUUUAUUGGGCGUAAAGGGAACGCAGGCGGUCUUUUACGUCUGAUGUGAAAGCCUUCGGCUUAACCGGAGUAGUGCAUUGGAAACU
rnacentral:rRNA from 1 species